CUAAGAGCUGUCCAGAGGCAAGAAAUACUUAAAACUUAGAGUGGUUAAGGUAUGACAAGAACAGAUGUGAAUUUUGGAAAGGUGACUGGCUCCAGGGUGAUGAACUAGUUGAAGGGAAGCCACACUCCUGUCAGAAGACCAGCUGAAGUUACUGCAGUGGAGGAAGGUCAGAGCCCGUGGAGGCAGAAAAUAUGAAGUGCAUAUAACUAUGAAAUGUGGCUACUUCUAUGCAAGAAUGAC
rnacentral:lncRNA from 12 species